rnacentral:rRNA from 1 species
ACGAACGCUAGCGGCGUGCUUAACACAUGCAAGUCGAACGGAAAGGCCCCUUUGGGGGUACUCGAGUGGCGAACGGGUGAGUAACACGUGAGUAACCUGCCCUUGACUUCGGGAUAACUUCAGGAAACUGGGGCUAAUACCGGAUAGGAAUCCUUGCUGCAUGGUGGGGGUUGGAAAGCUUCGGCGGUUUUGGAUGGACUCGCGGCUUAUCAGCUUGUUGGUGGGGUAGUGGCUUACCAAGGCUUUGACGGGUAGCCGGCCUGAGAGGGCGACCGGCCACAUUGGGACUGAGAUACGGCCCAGACUCCUACGGGAGGCAGCAGUGGGGAAUAUUGCACAAUGGGCGGAAGCCUGAUGCAGCAACGCCGCGUGCGGGAUGACGGCCUUCGGGUUGUAAACCGCUUUCAGCAGGGGCGAAGCUUGUGGUGACGGUACCUGCAGAAGAAGCACCGGCUAACUACGUG